AAGAAAGAAAAACGUAAAUUUUUUGGUCGAACGAAAACGUACUUUAGUGUAAGAAAUUGUGAUAAAAUGAGGGAAGAAAGGAGUGAACUUUUGCAUUGGGUUCCAUUAUCUAUCAUAGAGUCGCCCUUUUUGUGGCUGCUUGUGGGCCUUUCUCAUUUCACCGACCUUACUCUCCUUGCAUCUAUAUCUCUUUUCGUUUUAACAUAAAAGUAGAUACAGUUUCAGUUUUAUACAAAAUACAAUA
rnacentral:lncRNA from 1 species